CUGUGUGAGGAGGAGAAGGAGGCGGGGAGCGGCAGAGGGUGCAGAGCGGCGGAGGAGAGCGGAGGUUACACUAUGGCGGGACGGAGCUCGGUGGAGAGUCAGGCGGGUUGGAGUCGGGGGGCUCCCCGCUCUCAUAUUCGGGGGGUACAGAGGGGUGUGGGGUGAGUGUAGCGGGUGUGAACGGUGAGCGGAGCUCCCAGUAAAGUCAUUGUAAUAUGGAGGACGGAGAGGGAAGAGAGGAUCCCGGGGGGGCUGUGCAGGGUGCGCUCCCCGGUGUCCCCCCCGGCGCGGUAAUGUGAGGCGCACCCCGGAGAAGUCGGAGGGUGAAGUCCCGGGCCGGCUGAGGGGCCCCUGUGGCCCUGAACAUCGAAUGACAGAUCCUCCCUGUAAUGGCGGCGGGGACGAUACACAAGUGCUUUGAGGCUCCAGUUCCUGACAUUUUAAAGUGUAAACCAGUAUGAUGAACUAUGCCAAAUAUGACAGGAAAGAAAACCUAUACAGUGAGGUAA